rnacentral:rRNA from 1 species
CGGAGGAUGCGAGCGUUAUCCGGAUUUAUUGGGUUUAAAGGGUGCGUAGGCGGCUUUAUAAGUUAGUGGUAAAAUUUCGGAGCUUCACUCCGGUCCGCCAUUAAAACUGUAGAGCUAGAGAAUGGACGAGGUAGGCGGAAUAAGUUAAGUAGCGGUGAAAUGCAUAGAUAUAACUUAGAACUCCGAUAGCGAAGGCAGCUUACCAGACCAUAACUGACGCUGAUGCACGAGAGCGUGGGUAGCGAACAGGAUUAGAUACCCUGGUAGUCCACGCCGUAAACGAUGCUCACCGGCCCUUAGCGAUAAGACAGUUAGGGGUUAAUUGAAAGAAUUAAGUGAGCCACCUGGGGAGUACGUCGGCAACGAUGAAACUCAAAGGAAUUGACGGGGGCCCGCACAAGCGGAGGAACAUGUGGUUUAAUUCGAUGAUACGCGAGGAACCUUACCCGGGCUUGAAAGUUAGCGACGAUUCUUGAAACAGGAUUUCCCUUCGGGGCGCGAAACUAGGUGCUGCAUGGUUGUCGUCAGCUCGUGCCGUGAGGUGUCGGGUUAAGUCCCAUAACGAGCGCAACCCUUACCGUUAGUUGCUAGCAUGUAAUGAUGAGCACUCUAGCGGGACUGCCACCGUAAGGUGAGAGGAAGGGGGGGAUGACGUCAAAUCAGCACGGCCCUUACAUCCAGGGCGACACACGUGUUACAAUGGCCAUAACAGCGGGUAGCUACCGGGCGACCGGAUGCAAAUCUCGAAAAUUGGUCUAAGUUCGGAUUGGAGUCUGCAACCCGACUCCAUGAAGUUGGAUUCGCUAGUAAUCGCGCAUCAGCCAUGGCGCGGUGAAUACGUUCCCGGGCCUUGUACACACCGCCCGUCAAGCCAUGGAAGCUGGGAGUACCUGAAGUCCGUAACCGCGAGGAUCGGCCUAGGGUAAUACCGGUAACUGGGGCUAAGUCGUAACAAGGUAGCCGUACCGGAAGGUGUGGCUG